rnacentral:misc_RNA from 1 species
CACCACUCAAGCCUCGCUUGGUAUUGGGCGACGCGGUCCGCCGCGCGCCUCAAAUCGACCGGCUGGGUCGAUCGCACCCUCAGCGUUGUGGAAACUAUUCGCUAAAGGGACCGUGGUCGGUCACGCCGUGAAACAAACCAAUUUUUCAAU